UCUCUCUCUCUCUCUCUCCUACUCUCUCUCUCUCUCUCUUUCUUUCUUUUUGCCCCCGUUGAUGCGUUGUGCAGACCUACCACCCUGUGGAAAGCCCUGCGGUUGAGGGCGGUGCAUUUGCCAUACCAGGCGGUGAUACAGGCCGACAGGAUGCUCUCAAUUGUGCACCUGUAAAAGUUAGUGAGGGUUUCCGGUGACGAGACUCAUUUUUUCAGCUUCCCGAGGUUGAAGAGGCUGUUGCGCCUUCUUCACAACGCCGUCUGUGUGGCUGGUCUAUUUUAGUUUGUCUGUGAUGUGUACGCCGAGGAACUUGAAGCUUUCCACCUUCUCCACUGUGGUCCCGUCGAUGUGGAUAGGGGCGUGCUCCCUCUGCUGUCUCCUGAAGUCCACGAUCAUCUCCUUCGUUUUGUUGACGUUGAGUGUGAGGUUAUUUUCCUGACACUACUACGUCAUUGAUGGUGAUCAGGCAGUCAGCUGAAUGAUCCACUUCACAAUAGAAAUUAUUAUAUUUAUAUGAUUCCAACAGGUCAGUGUUUUGGUCUAUAUCUCAAGGCAACAGGUCAGUGUUUUGGUCUAUAUCUCAAGGCAACAGGUCAGUGUUUUGGUCUAUAUCUCAAGGCAACAGGUCAGUGUUUUGGUCUAUAUCUAAAGGCAACAGGUCAGUGUUUUGGUCUAUAUCUCAAGGCAACAGGUCAGUGUUUUGGUCUAUAUCUCAAGGCAACAGGUCAGUGUUUUGGUCUAUAUCUCAAGGCAACAGGUCAGUGUUUUGGUCUAUAUCUAAAGGCAACAGGUCAGUGUUUUGGUCUAUAUCUCAAGGCAACAGGUCAGUGUUUUGGUCUAUAUCUCAAGGCAACAGGUCAGUGUUUUGGUCUAUAUCUCAAGGCAACAGGUCAGUGUUUUGGUCUAUAUCUCAAGGCAACAGGUCAGUGUUUUGGUCUAUAUCUAAAGGCAACAGGUCAGUGUUUUGGUCUAUAUCUCAAGGCAACAGGUCAGUGUUUUGGUCUGUAUCUCAAGGCAACAGGUCUGCAUUUUGGUCUGUAUCUCAAGGCAACAGGUCAGUCUCCUCUCCUCUCCUCUCCUCUCCUCUCCUCUCCUCUCCUCUCCUCUCCUCUCCUCUCCUCUCCUCUCCUCUCCUCUCCUCUCCUCUCCUCUCUCUCCCUGCUUGUGUAAUGUAAUGUCCCAGGUUUCAUACCCCAAGCAUUGGCACAGCUGCUGCAGCUCUGUCCUCUUGUAUAAGCAAAGAGUAACGAGCAAACCUCAAUUUACAGCUUUCUGCGUGCACUCCAUUACCCAUCUGGCACUCUCAAAUCGAUAAGCCACUCUACUCUGUGUUGCUCCUCUCUCCAGAGCUUCUGGGAAAGGAGACGGUAGAACUCUUCUCUCUCUCUCCUCUAAAUCAGGUAACGGGGACGCCAGGCAGGGGGGAGAGGAGCUGUGGAAGGGGAAGUGAAGCGACUAGCCUGGCAUUUUUUUUUGGCUCCCAGAGUUUGUUUUGUUACUCGGUCAUAAAAUAUUAAAUGGGACCAUAGUUUGUUUGGUUUUGCCGUGAAAGUGUGUCAAAAUCUUUCUGAUGGCAUUGGAUGAGCUCAGAUAUAUAUAUAUAUAUAUAAAAAAAAUUAAAAAAAUUUAAUUAGCUUUAGUUGGUAUUUUGAAAUGCAUUUGUAUAAGUCAUAUGCUUGGUAAACAACAGGUAAACAACAGGUGAACAACAGGUGAACAACAGGUAAACAACAGGUGAACAACAGGUGAACAACAGGUAAACAACAGGUGAACAACAGGUAAACAACAGGUGAACAACAGGUGAACAACAGGUAAACAACAGGUGAACAACAGGUGAACAACAGGUGAACAACAGGUGAACAACAGGUAAACAACAGGUGAACAACAGGUGAACAACAGGUGAACAACAGGUGAACAACAGGUGAACAACAGGUGAACAACAGGUAAACAACAGGUAAACAACAGGUAAACAACAGGUGAACAACAGGUGAACAACAGGUGAACAACAGGUGAACAACAGGUGAACAACAGGUAAACAACAGGUGAACAACAGGUAAACAACAGGUAAACAACAGGUGAACAACAGGUGAACAACAGGUGAACAACAGGUGAACAACAGGUGAACAACAGGUAAACAACAGGUAAACAACAGGUAAACAACAGGUGAAAUGCUAACAGGCUCUUCCCAACAAUUCAGAGAGAAACAUAGAUGUAAUAGAAACAUAAAAACACAACGAGUAGCAAUCACAUGGUUUUAUACACCAGUACCAGU